rnacentral:rRNA from 1 species
GAUGAACGCUGGCGGCGUGCCUAAUACAUGCAAGUCGAGCGAACAGAUGAGGAGCUUGCUCCUCUGACGUUAGCGGCGGACGGGUGAGUAACACGUGGAUAACCUACCUAUAAGACUGGGAUAACUUCGGGAAACCGGAGCUAAGACCGGAUAAUAUAUUGAACCGCAUGGUUCAAUAGUGAAAGACGGUUUUGCUGUCACUUAUAGAUGUAUCCGCGCCGCAUUAGCUAGUUGGUAAGGUAACGGCUUACCAAGGCAACGAUGCGUAGCCGACCUGAGAGGGUGAGCGGCCACACUGGAACUGAGACACGGUCCAGACUCCGACGGGAGGAAGCAGUAGGGAAUCUUGCGCAAUGGGCGAAAGCCUGACGGAGCAACGCCGCGUGAGUGAUGAAGGUCUUCGGAUCGUAAAACUCUGUUAUUAGGGAAGAACAAAUGUGUAAGUAAGUAUGCACGUCUUGACGGUACCUAAUCAGAAAGCCACGGCUAACUACGUG